rnacentral:rRNA from 1 species
UACGAAGGGGGCUAGCGUUGCUCGGAAUCACUGGGCGUAAAGAGCUCGUAGGCGGUCUGUCGCGUCGGCUGUGAAAUCCCGAGGCUCAACCUCGGGUCUGCAGUCGAUACGGGCAAACUAGAGUAUUGCAGGGGAGACUGGAAUUCCGCGUGUAGCAGUGAAAUGCGUAGAGAUGCGGAGGAACACCGAUGGCGAAGGCAGCCCCCCUGGGCUGACACUGACGCUCAGGCACGAAAGCGUGGGGAGCAAACAGG